GUAAAAGAGCAUUCUUUUAUUACGUAACGCAGUUGUUGGUGUGGGUUGAUAAAUAACUAAAGUUGAACUUUAGUUGAACUAAAAAAAGUUUAAUGCUGUUACUCGGUGAAGCAAUAACGUUGCCCAGGCACGAAAUAUUAUAGCAGAGCUGGUUCUCAAAACAAAUGGAGUGCUAGUGUGCGUGAGCUCGGGCUUAGAUAACUCACUAUUACACUAUGAAAAUAUCCAUGGCUAAUCCAAGGAACCAAAAGGUGGCAACAGAAAUGUUCGUCAAAAAGAGGUGCCGCAAAAAAACUUUUUUGAUCAAAUGUUCGAACAAAUCAGCAACAAUUAUCUCAUCAAUACCGAACCGGCGCCGGCUCAGGUGCUCAGCACGUCCUCGCUGGCAACGUUCUCUCUCUGAUUUUUCUUCGCGAUUGCGUCGAAGAACUUGGACAUCAUCCUAGAAGCUGCUUAUGGAAUUGAGCUUCGGCAAGGAGCAAACCGCUUCUACUGAAACUUAACAGGUCACCCCACAUUCGGUAUCGGACGGAAGUUUGAUUUGUUAAUAUGGUGUCAGUCGAAGUACAAGUACUUGCCCUUUAUUUAAAAAAUAUGCUUAAUGAAAAAAUAAUAAUAAAUAUACAAAAUUAUUGUUUAAGUGAUGUUCUCGCUAUCAUGUUAGAAUAGAUUUUUUAUUUAUAUUUAUUUUAUUUCACAACUUGACUUUGCGCAUGAUGAAUAAAAGCACAAUUCCCCGGCACAAGCAUCUACGAAUCGCACCUCACAAUCCUUUUUAGUAAACGUCUUUAUAAGUUUUACAUUAAAAUCGCGAUCCAAAUGAAAACUGUUCAGGUUAAGCAAAUUAUACCAGGCAGAGUCGAUGCUUGGAAGAACUGAGUCGCGCUGAGCGAACGGAACUGGUACUGCUUCUUCUGCACCUGCGGCUUGCGGUAUUUGAACGCGUUCAGCACGUAACCAAGAAGAUUUCAACUGAUUUCCCGACGAGCAGUACUCCUAGCACCAGCCUUUGACCAGCGGAACAUCGAUCACCCAUCGACAUUGUCCCGACGCAUGUUGAACGGCCGCGGCACCCACAGCAACAACAUCCCGUUUGGAGGAAGCAGUCCUUCAAGAGGAAUGCAACACUUCCAGCAGCGGUGCGACGAACCAAUUAAAACCUGGAGGGGGGGGAACAAAAUAAUGUCUUUAAUCACAGAAAAAACAA